CCUAUCGAAGAGUUCCACACGUACUUCGGGUCGCAC
rnacentral:rRNA from 1 species